CCCAGGCAGGGCAGGGCUGGGCAGAGCUGUUGUGCGGGCAGAGAGAAGGUGGAGAGAGGCCAGACAGAGCGGGCCUGGCCAUGUGGAGUGCCCUGUGCGUGGGCUUCUUGCCCAUUGUAGCAAUCUCACUCGCUGGUGCUUUCACCUUGGAGCAGCACCCCAGGGAACUGACCGUGGAAGAGGGAGAUGCAGUCACCUUGAAGUGCAGCAUGACGGGGGCUUCUAUGAGGUCCUACUACAUGUCCUGGUACCGUGAGGGCCCAAGUGGCAUUUGGGAAUGGAUUUACAAUGAGGACGGUACCUAUGGAGCAGGUUUCCGAGAUCGCUUUAAGAUAAGAGAUGAGAGCUCCAAGAACAGCUUCCCACUGCAGAUCCUGGCAGCAAAGCAAGGGGAUGCAGCAACGUAUUAUUGUAGAGCAAGAGACACCCUGGAGCAGCUCUGCAGCAGAGUGGACUAA